GUUGGAUUUGUCUUUCUGUACUGUACUUGCAAAAUAAUUGGAUUCAGACGCCUAUAUCUGUGACAGCUGGGUAAAGCACAGAUGGCUAAACCUUUCUGUCAAUAGAGAACAGGUAAGGAUAAUGAAACAAGAUUUCCAUGCAAUAAGUGUGCUGAAAUAACCAGAAAAUUCCAAAGACUGGAAAAAGAAGAUCAUUCCCAAAAAGUGCCCCAGCAUCACAGUAACCCACGCUCAGGCUCGCAGUGCAGGGAGACACACAC